rnacentral:rRNA from 1 species
UACGUAGGGACCAAGCGUUGUUCGGAUUUACUGGGCGUAAAGGGCGCGUAGGCGGCAAUUCAAGUCAUCUGUGAAAUCUCCGGGCUUAACUCGGAACGGUCAGGUGAUACUGCUUUGCUAGAGUGCAGAAGGGACAAUCGGAAUUCUUGGUGUAGCGGUGAAAUGCGUAGAUAUCAAGAGGAACACCUGAGGUGAAGACGGGUUGCUGGGCUGACACGUGACGCUGAGGCGCGAAAGCUAGGGGAGCAAACGGG